UUCCAAUUUCCACAUGUCUCCUUUUGUACGCUUUUUUUGCUGACAAUAAUCAAUUACUCCGUUGAAAUUUGAAUUCAUUCGUUUUAAGUUUAGGUCCCUUUUUGGGCAUAGUAUUUUCUCUUUCGUAUCAUCAAUUGAUUUUGUUAAAGAAGAUCUGUAAGAUUCUGCAUCAUAGAUCUUUAUUAGUAUGUCAAUGCAUAAUGUGCAGUUGAUCAAUAUCAACCGUUUGAAGACAAUUGAUCAGGUAGCUUUGUGUUUUAUUUACUUUUAUGAAAAUAUGAAAUAGAACCUUGUGAAAAUUCAAGGAAGAGAGAUAAAGAAAUAUCAUACAUUUUGACAUAACAUGGUACUGGUAGCAGUAACAAUUUUCCAGUUUGGCUUGAACGAGGGUUUAUCUGAAAUAGUCUCUGCCUCGUAGGGUAGGGUAAGGUCUGCGUACACACUAAAUCUCACUCGUAGAAAUUCACCGACUGUGUUAUUGUUAUUGACUUGUAUGCAAUUGAGGAGCUAAGCAGGGGAGGAUUUGGAGGAUUAUCUACUCACAUGAACUCAAGCUUUUGCUUUUACCAUGUAUAUGUAUUAAAAGAUGAGGGCUUAACCUGAAUAGCCGUUUAUCCAACGGCUUAAUUAAAAACAACUGUCAGAUUAUAAUAUAUAAUAUGUGUAUAACCAUGUAUAAAUAAUAUAUAAUCUUUGUAUACUGUCUAAGAAAAUUAACCAGUAAAUCCGACCGGCUAUAGCCUAUCUGCGUAAAUAUCCUUUAAGUAAAUUCACUAAUAUCAAUAAAUAUUUGAUGUAAAAACUCAUAAUUUUUAAAUCCAGAAAAACCUCCUAGGGAGCCAAGAGAGGUAAUAGCACUUCAUUUCUAACUUUGGAGACCUCAAUAUCCACUUCAAACAGAAGAGGCUAGUUAUUUAUGCCAUAACAAAGUAAAAGGCAAAAAUAAAUGAUUGUGCUUCAUUUUCCUUCCUCUAGGCAAUUGAUGUAAAAAGGAAAUGGGCUGUAACAGGACAUGAUUUGGUCCGAGGCAUGCAAUGGAUCAUGGCCUACCAAUUUUGAUGGUGACAAACAUUCAUCAUUCUUCAUAUAUACACACAUAUUUUUUGACAAUGAGAAGUGUUUUUGGAGUUUUUGAAUUUUUCGACAUACACAUCAAACAUAUCCUACUAUGUAGUAACAGAUUGACAGGGUGAUGUUUUCAUGUGGUUUUCAUAUGACAGGUAGAAAUUUAGUUUUUCCGUGUUAUUUUAUAUGA
rnacentral:lncRNA from 1 species